GAUGAACGCUGGCGGCGUGCCUAAUACAUGCAAGUCGAGCGAACAGAUGAGGAGCUUGCUCCUCUGACGUUAGCGGCGGACGUGUGAGUAACACGUGGAUAACCUACCUAUAAGACUGGGAUAACUUCGGGAAACCGUAGCUAAUACCGGAUAAUAUUUUGAACCGCAUGGUUCUAUAGUUAAAGACGGUUUUUCUUUCACUUAUAGAUUGAUCCGCGCCGAAUUAGCUAGUUGGUAAGGUAACGGCUUACCAAGGCAACGAUGCGUAGCCGACCUGAGAGGGUGAUCGGCCACACUGGAACUGAGACACGGUCCAGACGCCUACGGGAGGCAGCAGUAGGGAAUCUUCCGCAAUGGGCGAAAGCCUGACGGAGCAACGCCGCGUGAGUGAUGAAGGUCUUCGGAUCGUAAAACUCUGUUAUUAGGGAAGAACAAAGGUGUAAGUAACUAUGCACGUCUUGACGGUACCUAAUCAGAAAGCAACGGCUAACUACGUG
rnacentral:rRNA from 1 species